rfam:Gossypium raimondii chromosome 13, whole genome shotgun sequence.
AUUCCAUGAUGAGGGCAUUUUCAUAACAAUUCUUUAAAUCUUACCAUGUCUCAUACAAGGACUUGCCAUCCAUCUGUUGGAAAGUAGUGAUUUCAUUCCGCAACU